rnacentral:tRNA from 1 species
GUCGUUGUAGUAUAGUGGUGAGUAUCCCCGCCUGUCACGCGGGAGACCCGGGUUCGAUCCCCGGCAACGGGC